CACACGUGCACACACACACACGCGCGCACACACACACACACACACACACACACACACACACACACACACACACACACACACAAAGAAUGAUUUACCAUUUAUUAAUGCUUAAUAUAUAACCAGAAAAGGGCAUAUAUAUUCCCUGCAUAUUUUAUAACUCAGUAUAUUGAAGUGUAAUGUGCAGUACACAUCUCCAGGGCAUCCCAAAAUGAUAUGAAGGGGGUUAAUAUUUUAUUAAUGAAUCAAUUGUUCACUUUAGAAAAUUUUAGAAUAUUGUAAAAUAAACGUUCCAAGAGCCUCUGUUUUUUUUUUUUGUUUAAAAAAAUCCACCAAAUUCAAUAAAGAAGAGAAAAAAUGCAAAUCUUACUUUUCAGAUGCUAAAUCUAAAGCCAUGUUUGACACAAAGUAUGAUGAGAUAUUGCUAUCAUUAGUUAAAAUAUUCUUUGGCACACAUUAAAAGAAAAUGCUACAUGGACGAGGAGUCAGUGGCAGAUGUGAGACAUGGAAAAACUGGGUGCAGAUAUGAUGAGAAGCACUGGAAAAAUAUGGAAAAAUAAAAAGACUUCAUCAGGAGCUGCUUGUUUUUCCCCCUACCAGCCCCUUUGUGGGUUAAUCAGCCAUGUAUGAAUGCAGGCCUGAUUACAAUAAGAGUAAUAUCAUUCAAGAAUACACACUGUCCCUGUGGCGCCGCUCCCUGGCCACUGGUGCCAAUAUGCAGGGCACUGACCAAAUAACAGAAAUCAAAAAAUACAAUGUAAAAAUGACGGCAGAGCCAAACCAACACCUGUCAAAAUAUAAGAAAAAAUUAUAUUUAGGAAGGAGGAAUGGUUUGUAUUUGAUUUUGCAGGUACAUGCCCAUUUAAUCACCUCUGUUAAAAGUAUUAGCAUAAAACACAAGGCCACUCUUUUUAGAUAGCUGUCUAUUGUUCAGACUCCAUCCCUGAGAAUCGAUUUCGUUCUUUUUAAACGUUCACUUAAAAGUUGGAUAUGUAAUUGAAAUCUUUCCAAACACUACAAAAAUGGAAUUUUCAUGUUACUAAUGCAAAUUAAUUGAAAGGAAUUUCAUGGAUUCUUAGCAAAACCACAGAUUUCUUUUCAAACCUAAAUCUUAACUUGAAAGUUAACUAAAAGACUCAAUUUCAUAUAAAUCAUAAAAUAAUAUUAUUUAUAAGGUCUGAUUUAUUAUUGGGUCUCACAUUAUAAGUACUGUGUCUCAGUAAAAGUAUAUAUUAUAAGUUCAAGCUAUGUAUUGAAUUUGGAGCUAGGACAGCAGGCGAGACUCAUGUGAUGCAGUACUGAGCUGCCAGUCAUUUCUUUAUAAUCUGUGUCUAAGGAGUCAGACUAUCUGGUGAUUUUCUAAAAAUAACCUUGAGCAAUGGUUUUCGAGGCUUUCAAAAUUUCUUUGGAUAUUGGUUGCUUUUUUUAAAAACUCAUUUUCAGACUAGUCUUUGUCCAUCCAUCCAUCCAUCUGGAUGCAAGAUCUGUAACUAUCCCAGCUGGCAGGGUCCUGCAGGUUUUAGAUAUGUCCUUGAUCCAACGCAGCUUAUUUAGAUGGCUAAAUUACCUCCUCGAAGUUUUCUAGAGGCCUGGUAAUGAACUAAUCAUUUGAUUCAGGUGUGUUGACCCAGGGUGAGAUCUAAAACCUGCAGGACACCGGCCCUCGAGGCCUGGAGUUGCCCACCCCUGCUCUACUCUCUAUACCAGGGGUGUCCAACUCCAGUCCUCGAGAGCUACUGUCCUGCAGCUUUUAGAUGCAUCCCUACUCCAAAACAGCUGAAUCAGAUGUUUGGAUUACCUCUUCAAGAUGCCAUCAAGUUUGGCAAAGGCCUGAUAAAAAGCCAUUCAUUUGAUUCAGGUGUGUCAGAACAAGGACUAUCUAAAAGCUGCAGGACAAUAGCUCUCGAGGACUGGAAUCGAACACCCCUGCUUUAUACCCACAGCGGCUGAGUGGGUUGUAUACCAAAUUGGAGGUCCAUGGUUUGAUCUCCAGCUCCUCCAGCCUGCACGUUGAAGUAUCCUUGCCAAUAUCCUGAACCAAGUGCUGCCCCUUGUUCGAGAAAGAGGACCAGUGAAAGCAUACCUGGAUAUACACAAAGGAAAACUAUCGCAGACCUCAACACAGCCUGGAACUCAACAUUAUUGAAGUAGUGUGGGAUCAUCUUCACUGAGAAUGGAACAAAAGUCAGCCAACAUCCAAAGAAGAGCUUUGAUGUUCUUCAAGAACCCUGGGGAACUAUUCCUGAAGACUACUUAAAUAAACUUGCUGGAAAGUGUUUCUAAGAGGCUAUGCUGAGGACUAAAGGUGGUCAUACCAAAUAUGGACUUUCAAGCUUGUUAUAGUUGUGCAAUCUCUAAUUUGCCUUAUAUCAUACAUUUACAUGCAUGUUUGCAAAUGUUUUAAUAUACCUCUACACCUGCUUCUCUCUCUUUUUUUUUUUUUUUUUUUUUUUUUUUUUUUAACCAAAUAUUAAAGAAAGGGAGGUGGCUAAAGACUUUUGACUCUAUUCAAUGGAAUAUAAAUCAAACACGCCCUCUUCAAUGAGCUGCUAGUGUUAGCUUAGGCUGUAGCAUUGUUAUCAUGCUGUUUCAGGAAGACGUUGUGGAAGAAAUAAGACUGCAUUGUUUCUUCUUUCACUGGAGACGCUUCUGGUGGCUGUUCAUCAUAUUAGUUUCAGCCACUUCAAUCUUGAAGUCAAAUUAGCUUGGAGCUAAAUUGGUGCAACACGUCCCAGUAGCCCAUCUCUGACAUGCAGUAUCACCGCAUCACUUCAUAAAAGGUAAGUGUUUGUUGCAUCUUCACUCCGUUCAGUAGAUGAUUGCAGGGGAUUAUUGCUCUUCAGCGAGUGCUAGUGGUUAUUCUCCUAGGCUUUGCUGUCAGUCUUGCCGUAGAAGCUUAUUAGUUCUGAGGCCAUGUGAUUAGUUUGUCUGUUUAUUAGCAGGGCUGUUGAAGAAGUCAUUGAUGGAUUUUACUAGAUGUGAGGCUUGGCCCAACCUAGAAGGGCAUCUUGGAAGAAUUGUUUGCCACUGUGAGAUGUCUUGGUGUUCAAACACACCAGCUAGCCCUCUGGAUCAAAUCAUGCUUAGUGUGGAGGGAAUUUUCACUUUGUUAGAGGGCAUGGGAGUGACAAGAGUAAAAAACCUUACGAUAACGUCAUUGUUGAUCAGAGUAUUUUGGACUCAAUUCAUCUAUUUUAGAAAAGCUGUCAUAGGUAAAAGAAACAGUAUAAGGAAAUUAAGGCAUUACAAAAGUGUUCCUGCAUAAAAUAUAAUGGGGAUCAUAAAUAUAACUUUUGUAAAAAAGAAAUAUGUGGUUACAACUCUCUCAUUUUAUUCCCUAAUAGCUCGGUCCCUUCAGGAUAAUAUUAUUGAUUGCCGUUCUUUCUCAGUUCAGAUUUGGGUCUGUGCUUAAGAGUUAUGUUGUAAAUUGGCCUCAGACACAUUUUUCUAUGAUUAUUUCAGUGUAUUAUUGGGUUUUUUCUCUACCCAGUUCAUAGUCAGAUAAGCACUGGCGAUAUCAUUCAAGGUUGGUUCAUGGAACAACAUUUAUCUGCAGCUUAUCGGCUCUAUAUUUCUUUUCUAAAGUGGAGAGAGUGAUCGAUUGUAACAUGGUGAAGUUAAAGUAUAGUUAACUUGACUUUGAUCAUUGUAUUAGAUGGAUUGUUGUGUUCAAGUGUCUCACCCCACUAGACAGCACGUUCGUUUUCCUUUUUAUUUUUCAUUCACCCGCCACAUUUUUAGGUACACUUCUUCUUGUUAACGACUGCUCCUUAAUAUAAAAUAUCUAACAGUGACUUACAUGGCAGCAACUCGGUGCAUUUAAUCACAUAGACAUGGUCAAGACAACCUGAUGAAGUGAUCUGAGCACCAGAAUGGGGAAGAAUGAAGAUAUAAGUGACUGUGUCAGUUACUGGUUGCAGAUGGGCUAAUCUGAGCAUUUUAGAUACUGCUGCUCUUCUGGGAUUUUACUGGCUCACUGCUUUGCUGAUAUUAGAAGUUAGAGGAGAAUGGUCAAACUAGUUUGAGCCCAUAGGAAGGCAACAGUAACUCAACCACUUGUUAGAAGAGCAUCCCUGAAAGACCACAUUAGCUCCCUAUUUGGAUGGUAGGAUCGGAAUUUGGCAUAAACAGCAUGAAUUGCCUUGUAUCAAUGAUAUCAAUGGUUCAGGCUGCUGGUCAUUGUGUAAUACUGUGGGGAAUACACUGUAGCUUACUUGAGCGUUGUUACUGACCAUGUACCCAUCUUCUGAUGGCGGCUUCAAGCAGGAUAAUACAUCACAAAGUUCAAAUCUCUACGCAGCUACCCAAUCUCGGUCCAAAAAACACUUUUGGGAUGAACAUGUGACCAUGCAUAUGCAGCUGACAAAUGUUCUGCACCUGUCUGAUGCUAAAAACACUGAGAAAUGUAUUAGCAAGGUGUACCUAAUAAAGUGUCCGGUAGUAUGUA